rnacentral:pre_miRNA from 1 species
GCGAACGGUAUUCAGAAGCCAAUAAUACGCAACAACGAUAUUAUUGCUCGAGAAUACCCUUCGC